AUUGCCUCAGUACGGCGAGUGAAGCGGCAACAGCUCAAAUUUGAAAUCUGGCCGUUUACGGUCCGAGUUGUAAUUUGUAGAGGAUGUUUUGGGUACCGCCCCGGUUUAAAUUUCUUGGAACAGAAUGUCAAAGAGGGUGAGAGUCCCGUCUUGGACCGCGGUAGGGCCUGUGUAAAACUCCUUCGACGAGUCGACUUGUUUGGGAAUGCAGGUCAAAAUGGGUGGUAAAUUUCAUCUAAAGCUAAAUAUUGGCCAGAGACCGAUAGCGCACAAGUAGAGUGAUCGAAAGAUGAAAAGCACUUUGAAAAGAGAGUUAAACAGUAUGUGAAAUUGUUGAAAGGGAAGCGCUGGCAACCAGACUCGUGCGCGGGGUUCCCCCUUGCUUCUGCUUGGGUCACUUCCCCGUGUCCGGGCCAUCAUCAGUUUCGGGGGCCGGUUAAAGGCCUUGGGAAUGUAUCCACGCCUUCGGGGGUGGACUUAUAGCCCAGGGUGUCAUGCGGCCACCCGGGACUGAGGAACGCGCUUCGGCGAGGAUGAUGGCGUAAUGGUUGUCAGCGGCCCGUCUAGAAACCCGGACC
rnacentral:rRNA from 1 species